ensembl:lncRNA
CCGCUCCCCCCGCUCAGCCUCCGCUGCUCAGCCUCCGCUGUACCGCGCUGCCUGCCGCCUUCCUCCCCCCACCGCCCAGCCGCGAUGCAGCAGCAGGGAUGGAGUUGUAGUGGUGCUGGGCGGAGGGGGUGAGAGAUUGGCUAUAAGGAGAAGGCUGACGGCUGCAGCAUGAAGCGCAUUAUUACCUUGUGAUUCCAUGACCCUCCUCUAUGCAUCCCUAACUCUCGAAAGCUGAUUCAGCUUUCAGCUAGUGCUCUGGUGAGUCCUCUGCUGCAACAGAAGCUCCUAACUGCAAAGUUCCUCAUCACAGAACUCCAUGAAAAUGCCUCUCAGCCUCCAGGCAGAGCGGGUGCCUGUGUUCAGCAUGGAGGGACGCGGCUGUCACCGUGCCAGGUGUGACGCGGGGCUGCAUCAGAUCGAUGGCACGGCCGCAGGAGAGCUCACUAGUGAUGCCAGGUUUAUUUUGGAAGCUAAAACAAUGUAAAAUCAACACGGCACGCACUAAACGGAUGAAAACCCCACUGAUAUGUUUAAAUGUACGGCUGCGUGCAGACACUCAUCACAAGUGGCUGUGUUUCAGUUCAUCACUUUUAGCAAAAUGGUAGAAAAUCAAAACUAAUUACAAUCAAAGUUCGCUGAUGAGUUCGAUUUGGAUCAUGGUGGGGCUGAGGAUCAGCCUUCUCCUGAGUCAGAUUGAAGAAAAAACCACCCAGUUCAACACAUGCACAUACAAAGCCACACUUGGGAACUGGAAUUUCAUGGCAUUCAGGGGGAGGAGGGAUCCUAUAGCACAGCGCUGGAAGCUCAAACAAAUAGCAGAGUGGAAUACCUCUGGUGUAGCAUCUGCUGGGACCCUGCAGCUAUUUCUGGUGUCUGCAGCUCAAGAAGGAUGUUGAUGAAUGGGAGAGGGCUCCGAGGAGGCACACAAGAAUGACGGAAGCAUUGCAAGACAUGCCUUAUAGUGACAGAUUCAAGGACCCCAGUGCGCUUAGCUUAACAAAGAGGAGGUUAAGGGAUGGCUUAAUGACAAUCCAGAUGUGCUCAGACAGACAGAAAUGGAAAGCUCUUCAAUCGAGCAGACAGAGCAAUAAAAAGAGCCGGUAACUGCAAGCUGACACUGCAAAAUUCAUGCUGGGACAGGUGAACUUCUUAAACGGACAGAACCAACACCAGAACCACUUCCUAAGAAGCAGUUUCACCAUCUUUCACCAUUUCAAAUUCAUAUGGAUUUGUUUUUGUUUUGUUUUUAUGUAUAUCUCAGAUCCACCAAAGAUCACUCUUUAAAUGAACACUCAGAGACCCACACGGCAUGAACGGGAUUCUCCUCCCCUGAUUUCUUGAUGGCCUUAAUUAUGAGUAUUUAAGACAUCAUCCCUGAGCACUGAGUGGGACGACCCCCUCCUUUUGGAUCGUGGUCAGCCUCAGUGGUGACUCUCAUGGGCACCUCAGCUCUGCCAGAGGAAUGGCUCUGUGGUUCAGAAGCUGCUGGAAUUUCUCCUUUCAUGGAAGUUCCUCACAAAAGCCUUUGGUGCAGACGACUCUUGGGCAUCUCCAGAACUACCCUUUGGCUUCUCCUGGGGGCUGUCUUGUAAGCCCCAGUGACAUCUUUCAGUGCAGCUGGGGACAAACAGGUAUAUUUUAUUAAUACUAUUAUUAUUAAUGUAAAAUUAAUUUGGGCACUAAGAUGUUAUUUCUGGGUUUUCAGGCUCUGAAAAUAGCAUGAGGGGAGAAUUUUCCUUCCAAAGAAAUACUGUGAUGAGUGAAAGAGGUCAAAUAAGAACUGAUAUCCAAAAGCAAGAAAAUAAAAAUUGUUUUAUAACCAAUUUAUAUAAAAGGGACUUUAUCUUCUCGUAAUGUCUUUACCUUUAAAAGCAGGCCUUUACCUUAUAUAAAGGAUAUAAAAGAGAUAUAAUUUGUUAUCUUAACCUGCAAUGAGAUCAGCAAAGAUUUUAAGCCCCUCCACAGCCUACUCACUGUUCCACUGUAGUUCAUUAAUACCCAAACUCGUCCCAAUGUACGUGUAGGGCCUCACCCCUGCAGCUUGGAGGCUCUGCCUCAUCCCCCUGCUGACAUCACAGAGCAAAUGUGCAAGAGUCCUCUGCUCUUGAAUCCAUUGAAUCCAGCCCUGUGUUGGCCAGCCAGCACGACUGCCAUCGAUUUCAGGUUUGGGUCCAGGAACUGUGCAGAUGCUUUUGAAACUGGACAACAACUCAGCGUUUAUAUUUUAUCUGAAGAAGCCUGAACCAGCAGAAAUGGUUUUAAAGCUAGGGCAACAUCAUUACCAUAGAGAUAAACAUUACUUUAAUGUGGUUCACCAUAACAACAGACCAUUUAUUAAAACACUUCACCAUUUAAUUUAUCCAGCGUUUUAUACUGAAGAGUAUUUUCAUUAGGAUUCCACUGCAAAACUGGAGAAGGCAUUAAAUCAUUUAAUAUACUGACAGCUCACUUAAUUUAUUUAAGCAGGGGACUCUAAUUUAAAAAAGCAGACCUUACACAGUGCCCUAUCUUUUCAGUCCUGGCAUGCAAGGUCCUAUUAAUUUCAGGGUAGGGUGUUACAUUAAAUCAACUUGAGAUCCCACCAUGUGCUUUCCUUUGGUCAGCAGCCCCCUACAUUGCUGCACCUGCCAGAGCUGCCUGCAGGAACCUCUCUUGAUGCACACCAGCCUUGCUCCAUGCCUCUUGCUGCUACUAAUGCCCGCGAGCAUCUCACCUUUUGCAUCCCAUGGUUGAAGGAUCAGCAGGGAACCAGGAAGCCCUGAUGUUCUUGGUGAAGUCUUCCAUUUAACUCCUGUUAACUGGGAUUUAGAAAUGCCUCUUGGCUUUGGAGCACUUGGUGAAGGCUGGGAGAAUCACUGUGACUUACUCCUAUCUCAGUUUGCACUGAAUUAGCAAGAAACGUGCAAUUAUCAUAGAGUCAUGGAACGUUUUGAGUUGGAAGGGAUCAGUCCUUGUGGCACACUACUUUUGUUCCCACAUUUGUCAUAAUAAAUGGAGCAGAAUAUUGUUACCUGUGCCAAAGCCCUGGGUGAGUCUGGGCUCUCUGAUGGCCGCUGGUUUCACUGCUGCCCAAGACUGGUAUUGAAGCAGACCCUCGGAAACAACAGCACAUUGUCAAUAGCAUGUGGGACAUUAUUAAUAAACACUAGGGAGCUUGAUAUGAUCUGGCAAAAGCAGCACAAUGAAAACAGGUACCAAAAGAAGGAUGGAGAGAAAGGGAAGUGAUCUGAACAGGGUGUUUAAUGACUCACCGGGCUGCGAAGCGCAGUGGAGAGCAAGGGUGGAAUAGAAAACAUUUUAAUGAAUUCAGCAUGCGCACCCUCUGAAGGCUCAGCUCCCCAUUCCCCAGCAAUAUUUGACCCACCCGAAGAUACUGAUCACACCGAAAUAAUAACCAGUUUCUUUUCACUUCCCAGAACUGCAGCUAGCAGAGCGGGAAUGUGCCAGGUGAGCAGUUGAAGCACAGCUAGAAAAGGAUUGCUCCUCUGGUGCAAGCAGGGAUUUAGCUGAAAAAUACUGAGUUACUGGAAGUCUAAAAGUAGGCACUGUUCCAAGGUCAGGAGACUGAGCGUCACCUCACUCAGUGGUGCACUUUCCAUCAGAGGUAAAGCACUUCUGCUGUCCUGGAUCCAAAGUAAAGCCCAGACACUUGUAUUUAUGUUGUUCUAAGCUGUAUAACAACCCUAUUUAACAGAGAUUUUAAAUAUUCAUGGUUAAAUACUAUGAAUCAAAAAAAAAAAUCCCUUAUGCAGGCAGUUGUUGAAGGAGUUGGUGAGGGACUGUGUGCCAACAUGAGCACGCUGCUCAGAGCUCAUGGCAUCAGAGUGAACACAGAGGGAGCUUCUUUCCCCCAAAUGAUAGGCUAUGAGAAGUGCUAUGGCACUGGUAGAAGGAAGGAGAGAAAUGCCAUAGAGGAUGUGAGUGCCUUGCCCCUGCUCUAACCUGCAGCCAUGAGAUAUGGAAUAUAUCUAGGAUCACAUCUCUGGAAGGUUAAAUGCAGACAACGCAAGGGCUCCAAAAGCUGCAGGCAGCAUGGGGCAUUAGCCAAGGCACAGCUUUGCUGCAACCUCGUUUUCAUGAUUUAACAUUACUGCUGUAAAUAAUUGAUACUAAUGUAAGUGAGAUAAGAGACAGACUGUCUGUGGGCCAGGAGGAAGUGGAUCCUGGUGACAUCCACCCAAAAAUGUGCUUGCAGAUUUGGCUUGAGUGAAAGCGCUGAAAAGCCAAACACCCAAUCUGAGAGGCAGGGAAGGGAAGAGGGAUAGGAAAGGCAAGCUAGAUCAACUCAUAGGACUCCCAUUUUUCAAAAGAAAACUCCCUGUAUUAGUUCCUUCAACAAGAGAACAUCAGCAUCACCUAUCAUUGGUUAGCUUGCCAAGGUUUGCUCUUGCACUAGUCCUUAGGACAUGCUCAUGCACUGUCAGAGGGUGGGAACCUGGGCGGGUAUGGACAUGGUUUAAGGAACCAGUUUUGUAAGAAGGUACAAGAGCAUCCCUCCUCAUCAAGGACAUGAGAACCCCAGAGUGCUCAAUAUACUUUAUGCCUUUGGCUGUGGUUAUCUACAAAUCAGCUGAGCACCAGGAAGGAGCUAUCCAGAAUCUCAGUCUUUGGAACCAGAGAUGGAGAACUACCCAUUUGGUCCAGUGAGGACAGACAUGAGCCAGGUGAUGGAUUCAGUGCUCUGGAAACCCACCUGAGCUUGAGAUGAAUGGGCCACAACGAGGCUGGAGAUGGGGAUAUCCCUGCUGGGAACCUCCCAGGGCCAUUGGACUGCAUAAAGCUCUAAAUCCCAGAGUUGAUGCUGCCUUCGGCAUUUCCCAUCCCCUGAGCAGCCAGCAUGAUGUCAAGCCGGCUUUGAUCCUGCCUAGGACAUAGAAAAAGAGAUAACGCCAGCUGAAAAAAAAAUGAUGGAAAAUGGUGUUGAGCCACCCUUAAAGCUCUCUGCUAAACUUUCUGCUGCAUCACCACCUUCACGCAACCCCUGUGUUGCUCCCCAGCCCAAGGACCUUCUCUUACCCUCACUGUAAGGACAAUUGGUGCAGAGCAGAGAUGCUCUUUGCACCCCAGCUGCCCGGUUUGCUGUCUGGUGAUGAGAGCAUCUCCUUCCCUGCUUAAUGCUGGAGCUGAGAUCCUGUGCUGCCUCCAUAGAACUGCUGCAGCAGGAUAUGAAUUAUGGAUGCAAUGAAAAAUCCCAGCGCAUUGCACAGAGGGAAUAUGCAAAGUGCAAAGCAAUCACCUCUGCACGAUGCACGAGCAUUGCCACACACUGCCAUUGGAUGCCCAAAAACUGUACCCCACCAUGACCUGCACCUCCCUCAUCCCGGAAAGGCACCGGGAUCCCCUCCUCCUGAGCACUCCAGGGCUGGAAAUGAGGACACCCAUCAUGUGAAAAACACCUCUUUACAUACUGUGGAGGCACUCAGGGCACAGGAGGGGGCCUCACUGCAUUCACAGGCAUCCAGGGGAUGGGUGUCUGCUCUCUAUGGGUAAGGGCUUACCCUCGGGAGCUCUGGCAGAGCUUUGCCUGGAGCCAAAGAGCCCGCAUAUGUUGUUUGCAUCCUCCUCCUGUCAGAGCCCACUGCCGCUGGAGCAGAGAAGUGUAGGACAGUUCUCCACAGACUAAUUUGGGGGGGCUGUAGUGUGCGGAAGCUCUCCUCACAACUUCUCUUUCAGAAGGCUUUUCCUUUUUAUUUCUUUUAAUUUUCAAAUGCUCCGAUUCCUCCCCUUGAAGCACAGCUCGUUGCCUCCGUGCACCAUCUCAUAGCACACUGCAAAAGCGUUGCCACUUUCCAGAGCCAUUUCUGAGCAUGCAAUAUCAACAUCUGUGCUAAAAGCAAGCCAAAAUUUUUCCCCGAAGCGAUAUUUUGCUUGGCAUUAUUGUUCCUUUUUCUUUUUAAUGGUUUGCUUGUCACGGGGACUCCUCAGCCUUUUAUACUCAGGAAAUGCAGAAUGCUGCUCCCCUCCCUGCUGCAAGCAGGAGCCAGCGGUGAGCACAGCAUGCAGCUCCCAUCCAUCCCACGGUGCCAGAAGGUUGGGGAAAUGCCUUGGGUCACUUAGGGCCCCAAUUAAUUACAACAGCCCCCCCAUGAAUGGCACUGUAAAUUCUUGCUCCUUGUGUUAAAAAAGUUACGAGUGUUACUUAGCGGCCACUAAAAUUAUACAGCACUGCAGCACUGUGUUUGCUGCUGUGUGCUCACUGCCUUUAAAUGCCACAGCCAGGCAUGGGAUAGAUGGGAGGCACAUGGGCAUCCCUGGAACCUGGCUGCUGGCUCUGCCCAGGCUGCAGCUGACAGUCACAGAGAAGCAAGUGCAGUGCAGAGUUCUUUCUGCCUGGGGGUAAGCACUGAGAUGCUGCUAUCUCUGGCUCAGUGUCAGCUGCAGGUAUCACUGUUCCCAGGGCAGGCUGCAGGAUGCUAUGGAGCUGGAGACUGUUUUCACUGAAUCAUUAAGGUUGGAAAAGACCUCUAAUGCCAUCACGUCCAACCCCAAUCCAUCCCACCAUGCCCACUAAUGUCCCUCUGGGUCACAUCUACCCUUUUCUUGAACACCUCCAGGGAUGGUGACCCCACCACCUCCCUGGGCAGCUCUACCAAUGCAUGACUGCUCCUUCUGAGUAGGAAUUUCUCCUGAUAUCCAGCCUGACCAGGAUCAGGUGGAGGAUGGUUGAAAAGGAAGAAGAACGACCAGUAAUAGGGCUCUAUAGCACCUCCGUCCGUAAAGAGUAUGACCAAUUUUCAGCUCUCAGAAGCUAAAGCAGGACUGAUGUAUAAAGUCUACUUUGGUUUCUCCCUGGUUUAUGUCUCUGACACCUUGCAAAGUCUUCGGGAUGUCAGGACAUAGCUCUGCCCUUCUGUACAGGUUUCCUUGGAGGAUUUCACACGGUGUUGGUGCAGGCAGCAGUAGCAAUGUCUGACAGCACUCCCACGGCAGCUGCAGGGCAGUGAGCAGCAGUACAGUUCUGCCUUCUCUGCUGGCAAUCUUCAGCUUUCUGGGCAAUUAUCUUCUCCCCCAUCAUCCUGCCCAGCACACAGCUGGUUGGCAGAGCUAAUUGAUUGGUGUUUGUACAGGCUUUUGGGUUUCUCCUGUUAAGUAGGUGUUAAAUCUCAUUAUUAUUAUUAUUAUCUUCUGUCAUAACCACAGUGAUGAACGUCCCCCUGUGCACGUACUUAAACUACCCAAUGUGGGCUGCCUUGUUCUUAAUUUUGAUUAUUUUAAGAAGUCUUUUAGCACAUCAAAUUGCCUUGGUGGAUAAAGAUUUAUAGCAAAGCCUUGGGAGCUGUCAGAGUAAUGUUUUUCCAGCAGCAAAAACUUAACCUCCUCUUAGAUCUCUUUCCUGCUUUGUCCCACACUUCUCCAUGUGAUGAAGGGAUGCUGAGGCGUUGCUGGGUGCAGCUCUUGGGAUGAAGGAAAUGUGCUGUCAGUCCUUUUAUUUCUGAUCCCAUUUGAGUGUGUCACUCAGCUGUCUCAAAUCAAAGAGGGUGAGAAGGUGCCUUAAACUGCUGUGAUUGGAAACUUCAAACUCACCGUGUCUUCUAGACGCUAAGUAAAUGGCUGGUGGGCUCUUGUAAAUCACAGCAUUUCUAAAUAUACCAGAGAGUCUCUCUGCCAAGAUGCUGAUGAACACUGCGUCUGUUCCUAUUGACUUCUUUUCCCCCUUCAGAUUCCUUUUGCUUUGAAUAAUUUCAAAUCAUAACGCAAAAAAAAAAUCCUGGACUCUUAGCGAGACUCAGUGAUGCUGUGAUUAAUGAAAACGUAAUGAGAGCUACCAUGCAGCCAUUACAAACCAGUUAGCUAAUUAGUCUAAUCACAGAGGUGGAAAUAAUUAAAAGACCAUAAAGUAGAGGUAGCCUAAUAACAGCGUUUUCCUCUGACCCAGAAGUGAAGAGAGAAGGAUGCUCUGUUCUAUCUGGUUUACUGGGUCAGCGCCAGGAGGAGUGGGGAGUGAAGGGCCCAGAAGAACUGCAGUGCCUGGGCUGGAUCAGACAGGGACAACAGAGCAGCCUUACACCAUUCUGCCCUUACACCACUCUGCCCUUACACCAGACUGCAGCUGAGUCCUCAACUGCUUCAGAUGGGUACUUGUAAGGUAGGACCGGUCUGCACUGGAGAAGCACACCCUGAAACCCUGCCCUACUUCUGCAAGGGUCUUCCAGCCCGGGCUGCUAAUGAGAGGCACAGGGCAAUGUGCAGAGCUGGAUUUCACCCCGUAAUUAGCAGUGACCUACCUCUCACUGCUGGAUGGAAUGGCUCCGUUUGAUGGGCUGUAAAAAAUCCUAACUGGUAAUUUUCCAGUUGGGAUGGGUCAUGGUUAUGGCCAUCUCCAUUGGCUCUUAUCAUUUCCGCCAGGGGUUUGUGUGCAUCCCAUUUGACCCGAUUAUAAUGAGCAAAGAAGAACAAAGGAGCUGCAGACACACAAUCAACGAUCAUGUGCUGAAGCUGAUGAAUACGCCAAGUCUGCUAAGUGGCUCCUCAUCAGCUAUUCACGUGCUGGGAGCCAUCUUUAUUUGCUCUUCGUCUGUAGGUGAAUCUAUUUUUGUAGCUCUGUUUUGGGGGUGGGAGGGUGGAUGGAGGCAACCACCGCUGUCAGGUAAAGACUACGCUUUCCUGAAAAAUCAAACGGUGACACCAAGUUGGCAGUGACCUGAAAAGAAGAAACGAUGCCAUGUCAUUUAGAGAAGGAAGAAAUAAUAUUCCCCAGUGACACCCCUGGUGGGAGGCAGAACUUUACCUCCCUGCAUCUCAAAUGAAGCAUCACAGCAGCAGCACUAACUGUGCUUCCGUGUUUCCAGAGUGACUUUUCAUUAACCUUAUUUUAUUUGCUGUAGCUGCAAACAUGCUUUCAAGGGUAGGAGCAGGGGCUGUCCUGCUGGGAGGAUUUGCAGGAUGAAAUGCAAGCCCAGGACAUCCCACCUGGAUCCUCUAGCUGUGACAUUGCUGCAGAAGGAGGGAUGUGUCUGGGGGUCUGUGCUGCUGCAUGCCAAUGACUGCCCAAUUUCUGCCCUUCCAGCACCUCUUCUUAUUCAAUCUGAACGUGUGGGUGAGCAGCACACCCAUCCCAGGGCUCUGUUCCAGCUGAAGCUGUUUCCUGCUGCAGGCUGUGUGGGUUCAGCAGCACGCUGCUCCAGGAAAGCAGUUCUGUACAAGCAGCAACACACAGGCUUGCACCGCCGGCGUUUGCAAACAGCUGAUCUAGAGAGAUUGCUUUUUUUUUAUUUAUUUCUUUGUGCUUUUGACCUUAUUUGUUGAAAAUGAAACAUCAUGUAACCUUCCAGGAAAUGCCACGAAUCUUCGAUCUGACAUGAGAACAUAAAUCUCCAGUGCGUGUGCAUCAGUUCCGGUCAGGUUUUCAGGUCUUAGCUAGAUCAGAGUGCAGUGGGAGCAUCCCAUAUUGGGGCCAGCAGGACCCAAGUUCCUCACCUGUCCUGUCCUUGUAACAGCAGUCCCAUGGCAUUGGUUGUUGCCUGUGGACCAGGCUGGUUUUCCACCUGUUCUUUGUAGAAAGAAUGGGAUUUCUUGCACCUGAAUUGAAGUGUGAAAUUUUAAGGGGACGGGUGCAGCUCCUCCCUCCCAGCUCCGGCUGAAAGCAAGCACUGCCUCACAGCUCUGAGCAGCCCCCACUCCAACAGCCAUCUCGGGGAGCAGAAGGUUCUCGUGCUGUUGGGAACUGAGGCUCUGCAGCCCCGACCACACAGAGAGGACGGGAAACCGCAAUGCCUGCGGUUUCCCGUCCGGUCCAUGCAAGCUGUUCAGUGCACGGGGCCUGAAUGGCAGUGAGGGUUAUUUGAAGGUCAGAAGUUGUUUGUGUGAAGAUGCAGCCCCGCUGCACGGCUUUUUGGCACCUGCUCAGUGACAGUACUGUUUUGCUGGAGCCGUGCAUGCCUCCAUCCCAAGCUGCCAGUGUUCUGUGGGGACACAUCCAGAGGUGUGCAGGGCUUUCCUUUGUGCCUUAUACCCAGAGCAGGGAAGCCCUACACCCCACCAGGCCCAGGGAACAACUCAGAGGUCUCUUUGCAUUUUAAUGCCUUUUCCUCUCUAUUGAGGUCUGUGACAUUCCUACAGGUUAACAGAACCCACAGUGAGAACAGUACCAUGCGCCCACCCCCCACAUACCUCUCCCUGCUAAAAGCAACAGAAACCUGCAUUUUUAUUCGCUUAUUUUAAUAGGACGACCUUUCCUUGUUUCUCCACUAGAUGGGAGAGUGAGACUGGUCUAACAAUGUGCCCGUCUUUAUCCUGACAGGAAUACAGGGGGGAGACGAGGAAUGGGGAAUGCACUCAAGUCAGUUCUCGGGUGUGAGGACACCUCCUGCACUUUCUCUGCCCUUGGAAAUGGUGUGGAUAACCCCAAAAAUGCAUGCUGAGCCGUGUUAUGAGCUAACCCCAAAAGUGCACGGCUGUGGAGACCGGUGCUUGCUGGGGGAUUCCCUCACUGCCAACUCCUCUGCCCUCAUGCGAGGAGGAAUCAGGUACACAAAGAUUAGAUCACAGAAUGACAGGGUCAUUUUGGUUGGAAAAGAGCUCCAAGAUCCCCGAAUCCAACCUCAGCCCACCCCACUGUGCCCACUGCUCACAUCCCUCAGUGCCACAUCUCCACAGCUCUGGGACACCUGCAGGGACGGUGACCCCACUUCCCCCUGUGCAGCUGUGCCACUGCAUCUUUCAGAGAACGUAUUUUUCCUAAUAUCCAACCUGAAUCUCCCCGGUGCAACUGAAGAUGUAUUCUUGGGGUGAGACACUUCGUGGCCAUCCACAUCCUGGAGAAUCAGUUGACUCCCCCGUCCCCAGCAUUGCUUUGGGAGAAAAAGAAUCACACCCCAUUUUCACCUCCUUCUCUCCAAUGCCUUUCUCGUGCAGGAUCAUUGCAUCAUAAUGCUCACGGCUGUAACGCUUCUUUCCGCAAAGAUUAAAAAUGUGCUGAUGCAACAGCUGCACUUGCAGGAGGGGAAUUUGUGGCCCCGUCUGACACCGGCAGCUGCACACAGAGGAUGCCCCGUGGCACUCAUGCUUUGCUGAAUUUACUUUCACUGCAGCGCUUCCCAUCCCCUGAGGCAUUGCCUGAGCUUUCACUGGAACUGAGUGCGUUGGGGAAUUAAACAGCAGCAGAAACACUGUCUCAACCAAACCAAAAAACUGCCCCAUUUGCCUAUAUUUUGUUAUUGAGAGGUUUGGGGUUUUUAAGACUAAGCAUGACUUCUUCCUUUUGGGAUGUCACGGGUCCUGGAAGAAAACUUCUCACAGCCAAUUUUUCUGACUGCGACAGAAUAGGCAAAUACUGCAGCUCUGGGGGGUUUUGCUGUCUGCCCAACCUCCUUAAUUUGCAAUCUUUGUAAAGAAGUGACUCAACUGAUUUGUUUGACGCUGGGUACACUUGUGCCCUUCAAUGAAGUAAUCCUGACAUCCCUUUGUAACUGUGCCCUCGUUGUCUUCUUUGGGGUUUCCCAACUGCCAUUACUCAGCCAGAGAGAGGUAACAGCCUCUUUGGAAGAGGAAGUUGGGUUUCACUAGAUGUAAUUCUUCUGUUUUCCAUAAGCAAGUCACCCCACCCUAUGUGGGCAACAACACUGUAUCACUCAGCACAGAGCCGUGUCCCACCCAGGCACCGCCAUGAGAGCGAUCGGUUUUCCCAAGAAGGGAGGAGACUUCUUUCAUUGGCUGUAAUUACAGAUGGAAAAAUGCUGCGUAGAAGCAACACAGUGGUAGAAAAUGCAGCUCUGGCAGAGGCAGGGCAUGCUCAGUGGGGCAGCAUCUGGCUGCCAGGUAGGGGCAGUGCAGGGACACAGGGAUGGGGAUGGAUGUACCGUGGGAUGUCUCAAAGGGAUGGGGAUUUGUAUGUUUGCUUCUGCCCUUGGGCAGCAGUCUGCUUCUUCCCGUGCCCCUCAUUCACAAAGUUUUGGGUGAGAAAAUGGGAAAAUGAAAGCCCAAGUGCACAGAGCCACUGCCGUGACUCUGUUCUGCUUUUCUGUGCUCCAGCACUGCCAUCCCCUUCCUAUCAUCUCCCUUUACCACCCUGGAAGGGAAUUAAAACCAGAAAAGGCACUAACUGGGGAGAUGAGCUGUGAAGAGCCUGGUGGAGUGGUGCAGCCUUGUGAUGGGCACAUGGGACCUGCAGGACAAGGACACUGCUGGGACCCACAUCUUCCUCUGCUGACUGCAGGAGGUGCUGCAGCUUGCUGCCUUCUGACAGCACGCCAAGUGCAAAUGAGCAUCUCGUUCUUCAGGGAUGAGAUGUUGAGCUGAUUAAGUUUCUCUUUAAUUAUAAGGAGGAAAUGGCACGUGCAAGGACGGCUUCUGCUGCCAAGUUAGAGAUGCUCCUGGGUGUAUCGUGCUUUCCUUCCUGGUGCAUGGGGCUCAGCUGUAGGGUUGGGAAGGGAGAGAAAACGGCUUGGGACAUAUUCAGAGCUAUGGCUGAUGGGGCAUUCUAUGGAAUGCUCAGCAACCUGUGAUAAGUAGGGUAUAGUCCAGGGCAGGGAACUGGCAUGCUUGGCAUUUACUACACUCAUAAAUGACUCCAGCAGCAGCAGAAAGGGUACAAACUUCACCCUUGCAAAGCAUCAGCACUGAGGCCAUGGUGGGGAGCAGACGAGCAAAGUGCCAGGAAACGUGUUGCUGCAGGUUGCACCCUGAGAGUUUUGGUAGCUGGCUGUUAGCACUGCAGCAUCUGCAUCGUGAUGGUGACUAAGGGUAGUUCUGUGGACUGGAAAAAGGGGCGGAGGGGUUUCCAUUCCCCAGCGGUGCACAGAGCUCCCAGCCAAGUGCUGCCUAUGUUGGGAUGCAUGUAGGAUGUAGGAUGCUUCGUGGAUCUGGGACCUCUCCACAGGGGCACUGGGCAAAGGGUGACAGGGAGCACAGGGCACAGAUUAAUGACAAAUAGUCAAA